rnacentral:rRNA from 1 species
CAGCAGCCGCGGGAAUACGAAGGGGGCUAGCGUUGCUCGGAAUUACUGGGCGUAAAGGGAGCGUAGGCGGAUCGUUUAGUCAGGGGUGAAAUCCCGGGGCUCAACCUCGGAACUGCCUUUGAUACUGGCGAUCUUGAGUAUGGGAGAGGUGUGUGGAACUCCGAGUGUAGAGGUGAAAUUCGCAGAUAUUCGGAAGAACACCAGUGGCGAAGGCGACUCUCUGGUCUGUAACUGACGCUGAGGAGCGGAAGCGUGGGGAGCGAACAGGAUUAGAUACCCCCGUAGUCCCUGUCUCUUAUAC